AGUUUUUUUCCUUUUUCUCCAAUGUAUUCUUACUGUAAGUUUUGGCAGCUAUGAAGUAUUUUAAUGUAUUCCUACCUUAGGUUUAUGAAUCUAAUGUCCCUUUUUCUUGGGGAGGGGUUAAGGAAUCUAUGAACCUAAUUUCUAUUCGAUUGGAAAAUUUACAAAUAUUUGCAUAUGUGGGCUAUGUAUACAGUUUUUGUCACCUGAUCUGGUUUUCAUGUUAAUAGAAAAUUUGUAAAUUUAAGCACUUUGUUCCCUCAUGAUUUUAUGCUCAAUUUCUUGUCAUUAUUUAUUUUCAUGUGCAUGGGGAUUCGAAGGGUUUUGGAUGUUGGUUUUCACUUGUCACAAAGUAAGUCACAUUAGGCAGAGGCAAGCUUUUAUGUCAUCCUUUUUUCUCCUAUUAAACUUUGUUCUCCAUGUGAAGAAAGGAUUUUAUUUAUUCCAUAUCUGGGAUGGUGGUUCUCACUUGUUUUGUAGUCAAUGGACUAUAAUACUUGAUCAUAUUUGGUAGUCGUAAAGUACAGUCAUGUUGCAUUACAUGGAGGCAAGCUUUUAUGUUGUCCUUUUUUUUUUCAUAUUAAACUUCGAAGAAAGGAUUUUAUUUAUUCUACAUCUGGUUUCCAUGAAGCUGGGGGAUAAUUAUGGGAAGGUUAGAUGGAAUUCACUACCCUUUUUUUUUAUGGUUGAUGUCAUUAGAGCUUUGUUUGUUAUGAUAUUUGUGGUGAUAUUUUCUUCACGAGAUAUGUAUGUCGUAUCUCUAUUUUUCAUAUGUUUUCAUAUUAGAAACUUAUUGCUUAUUUCUACAGUUAACAUGUCUUGGUUAUGUUGCUGUCUUCUGUUAGGAUGUUCUGCUCCUAAGGACGGCUUCUCCACUUCAAGGGAGAGAAGUACCUCCAAGAACAACAAAAUAGAAAGAAAAGUUAUGCUAUUGCUGGUAUUUAAUGCAGAAAAUAAUAAAUUUCAACUCCAGAUUGCUUUUAUAAUAUCCAGGCACCCCUAUUUAUAUUAGUAAGAUCCUUUGAAUCUACCCAUGAAUGCAUUCACAUUCGUUUCUUGCUAAAAAGAUUAGAGAUUUUAACAAAUAAGGAAAAGAAUCAUCCUUUUAAUCUUUCAGGAUUUGAUUAUAUUAGCCAUCCUUGCAAAUCUGCCUAGUUUCAAUGAUAUUAGUCAUAUUUGAUCAAAUCUUUAAGAUUUAUUUUACCAACUUAUACCAGCCUUCUAAAUUGGUUUAAAUCCAAGUCUGAUAUCAAAUCCCUUUGCUUCCUUGGUUAGCCUUUGCAUAUACUUGUGCUAUAGUGUUGUCGGGUACUGUAUAAGUUGUAACACCUUCGACAUAGGAGCUUUAUUGAGUAUUCUUGAAAAAAUGUUGAAGUAAGUCUCCCUUCAUCGAAUAAUCCAUUUUAUGACUUGCAAUCACUUGUCUUAUGAUUAAAUCAAUUGCUAUCUACAACAAUUGCUCUUUAGCAAGAAGCUUUGUUUAAUCAAGUAGGCUAGUUCUAUAUGAUUGUAUUCUAAAGAUAAGCCAAACCGUGUGAAAUAGCCAGUUUAGGGCAUAGCGAGCCGGACUGGUUGGUCACGAGCAUGGUUCAGCUCCUUCAAAAUGGUUAUAAACAGUGAGUCUCUAGUCUCCUCAUCGAAGCGCUCAUCCAUGAUGACAAUCCAAAUCAGGUGACAAUAACUGUAAACUAGUCCACAAGUCAUAGAUUCCUUAAUGGAAUAUUUGUAAAUUUAAGCACUUUCUUCCCUUAUGCUUUAAUUCUCAAUUUCUUCUUGUUCGCUAUUUAUUUUCAUGUGUAUGGGGAUUCCAAGGUUUUUGGGUGGCGUUUUUCACUUAUUUUGUAGUAAUGGACUAUAAUAUUUGAUCUUUUUUAGUUGUCGUGAGGUACAAUCGUGUUGCAUGAUGUGGAGGCAAGCUUUUAUGUCAUCCUUUUUUUUCCCUUACUGAAUUUCAUUCUCUUAUACAAAGAAAGGUUUUUAUUUAUGCCAUUCUUGGUUUCCAUGAAGCUGGGUAAUUGUUAUGGGAAGUUAAGAUGGAAUUCGCUUCUUUUUUUUUUUUUUAAUGAUGUCAUUAGACCUUUGUUUGUUAUGAUAUUUGUCGUGAUCUUCUCAUCAUAAGAUAUUUAUGUCAUAUCUCUAUUUUUUAUAUGUUUCAUAUUAGAAAAUUAUCGCUUAUUUCUACAGUCUAAGGUCCCUGGUUAUGUUCACAUGGUAUUUACAUGAUAGAAUUUGAGCAUGCUAUUUGCUUUGUUUGAUUCAGCAUAUAUGCUUUUGACCUUCAUAUAUACUUACUUCUACUGAUUGAGCAAUUGAGUAAUUUAGCAAUUAAUGUGAACUAUUAGAGUUUACAUCUUCUGUUAUGUUCUAUUUGAUUUAUUGAACUGUAUCUCAGGAUUAGGAGCUAUGGUUCCUUUUCAUACAUAUGAUCUUACUUUGGUCCAUCUUCAUCUUUACAUGUUGAUGUUAUGCUCAUAAUUGUUUCAUUCUCCUAUUUUGCUAUCUUCCAUCUUGCUAUGUUCUUCCUUAGUCUGUACUAUAAUUUUACGUGCUUUCUAUUUUAUUGGAAGUCUGGAACCUUAUUAGUCCUUGAAUUACCUGUGGACUGAUAUUCUUCUCCAUUUUGCGGUGCUUUGAUGGCACUGGAUGAUUAUAUUUAUAGUUCCUUUAGCAUGCAAAGUUAUAGGUUUUCUUCUUUUGUUCUAGUUCAUCUAGAAGUAAGAGGUGUGUAAACUUAUCAUGUUAAGGACAGAUUUUCAAAUGUUUGGAUUUUUCAUAUUAUUUUUAGAAAAUCUUAGAUCAUAAUGCUUAAGGCUUCAUUUAUCAUGUUCCAUUUAGGUAUUCUUGCCUCAAAUUAUAUGUUGUUGGGUAUUAAUGCCUCUUCAGUUCAAAGUUUACAUAAUCUUGUGCUUGACAUUUCAGUUUUAGCGUAUAGAGUUCUCAUUCCUUAUCAUGUUCUAUUUGUUUUUUAUCACACUGUUAUACUUCAUGCAUUUACUUGUUCAGGUUGUGGGAGCAAGCUUGUCAGGAUUCUAUUUGAUUCCUCAAAUGGUGUCUUGGGAUCAAGAAAAAGCUUAUGAUAUAUGGCCUCAGUUUCUUUUUUCUUGUUUUGAAUUUACAUAGCAACCGACAAUUUUUUCUAACAUUUUUCUUUUUUAAAAUUCUUUUAUUGUUUGUGUUAUGGUGAGGAAAAGAGCAAAUCAACUUUCCUAGCACUAAGGUGUGCUUUUAGUCCCAGAAUUCCAGUGGUUGCACUGGGCGAGGUUGGCUGUAGGGCUGAACUUGAAGGGUUCCAAUCCAGCAUCAGUAAGACAUUUGGGAGGAUGAGGUUGGCAAAUGGCCAAUCCUCGGCAGUCUCAAUAUGGAGACUUAGGAGGUAGAGAAGUUAUUUGAGUGAAGGUGGUUGGCUCAAUGAUAAUGAAGGAGAGCAUCUGAGGCUGGCCUCUUUUGGAGUCAUGUCAGAAGAGCCGAGCUAGCUUUAAGAUCUACAUCAGCAAGUCAGCAACUCUUUCAGCAAAGGUGCAUUAGGGUCUCAGGGUACCAUGAUUCUGAGCUUCUCUCAUUUCUAUAUCAUUUGAUAGUGGCGUCUCAGAGGGGCAAGUAGAGAAAUUGGUUUCCUCAGUGGAAGGCAAUGUUUGAAGAGUUGCAAUGAGGCAUAUGUAUGCUAAGCAAAAUGGGACAGCAAGGUAGCUGCAUGCCUUGUUGAGAAAUUUCAUCCACUUCCUGGCCUUGAAAACUGGUUGAGGAUUUUAUAUGAGCAUCAGAAGUUUCUUCCUCACUGUUUUUCUCCAACAACAUAAAUUUAUCCUGUUGAGGAUGAUUUUCAUCCUCAUUGAUUGCAAUUUCAACAAUUUCCAUGCGAUCAUUCUCUUAAGAAUUUUCAUCUUGGCUUAUUGUCUUGAGUUUUUCUCUGGCAUUCUAUCCUAUUAGGUCCUACCAUGUGAGCAAAAUGUUUUCUGAAAAACACAAAUCAGUAGAUUGAGAGUCGUAGGCAUGCUAGAUCAAUUAGGUCAAUCAGAUUGAUAUGAUCGAUCAAGGGAAGCAGGUCUAGCAUUUAAGUAAAAGGACUUGAGCUUUCUAAUAAGAUGCAAAUAUUGCAAAGAAAGAAAGCACCAAGUGGAAUUGGUAACUCACUUGUAGAGAAUCAACCAGAAAGAGAUCGAUUAUAUAAAAGAAAUAAAUUGAGCACACCGACAAGUGUUCUCCUGAGUGGAAUGCCCUUCAUGCUAGAGAAUGAGAUGAUAAGAGUCUAGAAUGGAGAAUUCUCUUGGCAUUCGAUCGAUGUGCCCAAGGUGGAAUGGCACAUCACUUUGAAGAACUUUAGACCAUGUCAUGAAUGCAGAAUCCUCUCAACACUCAUGUGGCACAUGGGAGAGGCAUAGAAGCCUUGUCCGAUGUCAGGAUAGUCAAGUGUCACUGUGUGUAGAGUCUGUCUCUCUAAAUGAAGCCUCUUUCCCUAUUAUGCUGAUUGGUAGUUAUUUCCAGCAAUAUAUAUCCUCUUUUGGUGUAUCCUUGUCUUGGCAACUCCUUUCUUGGUGGUUGUUGAAGGUUAUCUGCACGAAUAACUCCCUCUUUUCCCGAUAACUUUAGAAAGCUAAUUCCAGCAAUUAACUACCCAAAUAUGGCCUCUUGUAUAAGCAACAAGUGGCCAAAUAUAGUUCCUUCGAGUGUCAUGCACAAAUGAUUAACUGAAACUUGAUUGCCCUUAUGUUUUUAAUCAUGUACUAUAGUUGGUUGAUGACCAAUUAAUUUUUUGGUGUAAGCAGUAUACAGAAAAGACUCCUGUGGUCCUGUAGCUGAAUUAAUCUCUUACUUUCACAGGCUACUCAUGAGAACUUUGUGUGUUUUGUCAUCAUUGCUGCAUGGGAGGUUUUGUUGAGUUGCAAGGACAGUGGAGCCCGUCGGCAUCCAUACCAACAGAACACCUAAAAUCCUCUUACAAGAAACAAGUAAAUACAGUUGUAAUGGUGAGAAGAAGAGAUGAACUAACGUAGAACGAGGAACAUCUACUAGUCUCAAAAAGUCCAAUGGUUGCACUGGUAUAGUAGGCUGCAGGGCCCAAAUGGAGGCUCCAAUCCAGCAGCAGCAGGCGGCAGAGAAUGUAGUUGGUGUAAGGAGAAUCCUCAAGCAGUCUGGACAAGGAGGUUGAGGUGGUAGAAGUUAGCAGACUUAUGGUGAUUGACUGCAAAAUAAUGGAGAGAGACCCCGAGGCAAGCACUGCCCAGGAGUUCCAUUACACAGGCUGAGGUGGUAGAAGUCAGCUAUGGCACAGAUCUCCUGUCUUCCUUUAGGUGAUGAUCCUCCACCGGUCAGUGGAGGCGAUGGUGUGGUUGGUCCCAGGAUGUAACCCACUCAACAAAGCAAAUCAAGGACAGGAAUUGCUUGAAGCCUGUGGAGCUGCUCUUCUAUGUAAGUUUGCUGUGAUGCCUUGAGGGGCAAGUUGAUUGUAGAGUGCAUCAAGAAAACUGCUAUGCAGCUUGCAGGCAAUUUUAAUUAGUUCGAUGGGACAUAUCUCAGCUUUUCAAAAACAUCAAGAUUGGUCAGCUAAAUUUGGACAUCAAGAUAGUAUUCCAGUUUGUUGUAGACUUGUAGUCUCAUAUUGACUAUUAAAAAGGGCACCACAUGAGAUUAUUAGUCUGGACUGAACCUCUUGUCAACGGCUUAAGUUUUUGGGCUGAGUCCAUGACAAGUGGUAUCAAAGCUACGCUCAUUAUGCAUCACAACUUUUUAUUAGUCAUAUAGGUCCCUCAUUGAGGGAUACCAAGAUUGAGGUUCUAUUGGGAUGGAGUAGGACUGGAGCCAUGGGUUGGCCUCUCUCACUCGAGUAGGAGCCAAUUGUGACAAGGAUGUCACGAGAUUGAGCGGAGAAAAUUGUCAUAGUCUCGCAUUAACUAAUAAAAGGGAUGAUAUCUGGGUUUCUUAGCUUGGGCUACUUCUCCCAGCAUUUUAAACAUUUAGGUUGUGAAUCUAGAACAAGUUGCUGUUCUCUAAGCCUCCUUGUGCGCAGGAUGCUCUAUCAGCAGCGUGGUCAAGGACUGUUAGGAGUUUUCCCUUUUUUCCAGAUGGUCUGCGGGUCUUUCCUGACUUGUGUGCUAGCAACACCUCAAGUAGGGGCUCCAGGUUCUCUCUCUAUUGUGUCAUGCAUCAUUAAUGGGGGAUCUAGAGGCGUAUCUCAGAUUUUUCUUCAUUCAAAUAGAUUUUAUUUGUUUGAUAAAUGAAGAAAAUGCUAUUUUACUUGCAUGAUUGACCCCAAGAUAUGUUAGCCAAUAUGUUAUCCCUUUAUCUGGCAUUUAAAGCUUGUUAAUUGAUUUUUUAGAAAAUAAACUUCUUUGUAACUUGUGCAACA